GACGAACGCUGGCGGCGUGCUUAACACAUGCAAGUCGAACGGAAAGGCCCUGCUUGCAGGGUACUCGAGUGGCGAACGGGCGAGUAACACGUGGGCGAUCUGCCCUGCACUUCGGGAUAAGCCUGGGAAACUGGGUCUAAUACCGGAUAGGAGCCAUUUUUAGUGUGAUGGUUGGAAAGUUUUUUCGGUGUAGGAUGAGCUCGCGGCCUAUCAGCUUGUUGGUGGGGUAAUGGCCUACCAAGGCGGCGACGGGUAGCCGGCCUGAGAGGGGGGACGGCCACAUUGGGACUGAGAUACGGCCCAGACUCCUACGGGAGGCAGCAGUGGGGAAUAUUGCACAAUGGGCGCAAGCCUGAUGCAGCGACGCCGCGUGGGGGAUGACGGCCUUCGGGUUGUAAACUCCUUUCGCUAGGGACGAAGCUUUGUGUGACGGUACCUAGAUAAGAAGCACCGGCUAACUACGUG
rnacentral:rRNA from 1 species